GCCCGCAUAGCUCAGUCGGUAGAGCAUCAGACUUUUAAGCUGAGGGUCGUGGGUUCAUGUCCCCCUGUGGGCG
rnacentral:tRNA from 1 species